UGGGGAAUUUUGGACAAUGGGGGCAACCCUGAUCCAGCCAUCCCGCGUGUGCGAUGAAGGCCUUCGGGUUGUAAAGCACUUUUGGCAGGGAAGAAAAGGCGCCGGAUAAUACCUGGCGCCGCUGACGGUACCUGCAGAAUAAGCACCGGCUAACUACGUGCCAGCAGCCGCGGUAAUACGUAGGGUGCAAGCGUUAAUCGGAAUUACUGGGCGUAAAGCGUGCGCAGGCGGUUCGGAAAGAAAGGUGUGAAAUCCCAUGGCUUAACCUUGGAACUGCACUUUUAACUACCGGGCUAGAGUAUGUCAGAGGGGGGUAGAAUUCCACGUGUAGCAGUGAAAUGCGUAGAGAUGUGGAGGAAUACCGAUGGCGAAGGCAGCCCCCUGGGAUAAUACUGACGCUCAUGCACGAAAGCGUGGGGAGCAAACAGG
rnacentral:rRNA from 1 species